rnacentral:rRNA from 1 species
UACGUAGGGAGCAAGCGUUGUCCGGAUUUAUUGGGCGUAAAGAGCUCGUAGGCGGUUCCGUAAGUCGGGUGUGAAAAAUCUGGGCUCAACCCAGUGGAGCACCCGAUACUGCGGUGACUCGAGUCCGGUAGGGGAGUGUGGAAUUCCUGGUGUAGCGGUGAAAUGCGCAGAUAUCAGGAGGAACACCGACGGCGAAGGCAGCACUCUGGGCCGGUACUGACGCUGAGGAGCGAAAGCAUGGGGAGCGAACAGG